CGCCGCCUGCGGUGUUCGAUAACGUGGAUCGGGUUACCUCGGGCCCUAUUUGAAACACCCCGGGGCACGGCGAUCCGUUGGAAUUGUGCAUGUCCGCCUCGAGCGGGAAGCCUUAUCCUUCGGAGCUGAGCCCCACUUGUUGCUCCGGUCCGAGAGCAACGAUUCGCACCGGCACAGGCGGGUGGCGC
rnacentral:other from 1 species